rnacentral:lncRNA from 10 species
GCGGGAGGGGCACCAAGCUUACAGAAAGGAAAUCAAAGUCAAAAUACCAUGCCAAGCUAAAGAGAAGGCAUGAUUCAGAAUCCAGGAAACUAAGUCUGGAUUUAAUGAAUUUAAUUUUCAAAGAUUCAAGUGUGUAUCAAGAGACUCCCACAGAAAAAGGCCAGGAAGGGUAACCAGAAUUCCAGGCUAGCAGAACUCAGUUCCAAUUAUGGAGUGCCUGAAAAACACACCAUGGGCCAAAAACUCUUCUGGGUUCAUAGUGCAGAAGACACAGUCAGAGAGGAUCUUGCUGCGUCACUCAGGCUGGAGUGCAGUGGCACAAUCACGGCUCAUUGCAACCUCGACUCCCCAGGUUCAAGCAAUCCUCCCACUUCAACCUCCAAAGUAGCUAGGACUACAGGUGUGGCCAUGCCUAGCUAACUUUUAAAAUUUGUUCUAGAGAUGGGGUCUCACUCUAUUGCCCAGGCUGGUCUUGAACUCCUGAGCUCAAAUGUCCCACCAACCUUGUGCUCCCAAAGUGCUGGGAUUAUGAGUGUGAGCCACUGCAUCUGGUGGCUUCCUUUUUUUAAUCCCAAUUUUUUAUUCCUUAAAAAUUUUUCCAGGUGUACAUUGUAAAAUUUGUUUUCUAUUUUACCAUUUUUCCAAAUGGCUACCCAGUUGUCCCAACAGCAUAUAUUAAAUAUUCUAUCUUCUCUAUUGAUGUGAAUUGCCAUCCUUAACAUUUACUAAAUUUGCUUAUUAUUGAUUGAUUUUGGAGAAGGGGUCUCACUUUGUCAUACAGGCUGAAGUGCAGAGGUGUAAUUACAACCCACUGCAGCCUCUACCUUCUGGGCUCAAGUGAUCCUCCCCACUCAGCCUCCUGAGUAGCUGGGACCACAGGCAUGUGCCACCAUGACUGGCUAAUUUUUAAAUUUUUUGUAGUGAUAAGGUCUCUCUAUGUUGCUCCAGCUGGUCUCCAACUCCUGGGUUCAAGGAAUGCUCCCACCUCUGCCUCCCAAAGUGCUGGGAUUACAGACAUGACCCACCGUGCCCAGGCUGCUUAUUUUUAUUUUUAUUUUUUUGAGACAAGAUUUUGCUCUGUCACCCAGCCUGGAGUGUGUAGUGGCAUGAUCUCAGCUCACUGCACCCUCGACUUCCUGAGCUCAGGUGAUUCUCCCACCUCAGCCUUCUAAGUAGCUGGGACUACAGGCCCACAUCACCACGCCAGGCUAACUUUUGUAUUUUUAGUAGAGACAGGAUUUCAGCGUGUUACCCACGCUGGUCUCAAACUCCUGGGCUCAAGCAAUCCUCCCACCUCGGGCUCCAAAAAUGCUAGGAUUACAGGCGUGAGCCACCCAGCCUGGCCUGCUUAUGAAUUUUGGUCUAGUUUUAGACAUCCUAUUCUACAACUUGGCUAGUCUGUUUAUUCAUGUAUCAGCUGUUUUAACUAUUAAGGUGUUAUAUGUCCUAUCUAGAAGGGCCAAUCCUCCUGUGUUGCUCUUCAUUGUUAUAAUUUUCCUGGUUGUUUUUGCUUAUUUAUCUUUUCAAAUGAAUGUCAGUGUUAACUUGCCUGGUUUAAAAAACCGUAUUUUAUUGAAGUUGUAUUAAGAGAAUAAAAAACUGUGGAUAAUUAAAAUUUUUAUGGUAUCAAUUUUUUUCUCAUUCUAACAAAAAGUAUGACUUUCCUUUUUUUUUUUUUUUGUCUUGCGAUGGAGUCUCACUCUGUCGCCCAGGCUGGAGUGCAGUGGCUCGAUCUCAGCUCGCUGCAGCUGUGUCCAGAACUGGUGGGUUCUUGGUCUCACUGACUUCAAGAAUGAAGCCGCGGACCCUUGUGGUGAGUGUUACAGUUCUUAAAGGCGGCGUGUCUGGAGU